ensembl:lncRNA
AAGGUAUUCACAGCAUUGCAAAUAAUUCAAAGAAAUCUCAUAUGCUUUAGUGUUUAAAUGCAAAUUGAGGCUCAGGGAUCUUCACUACUUUCUCCAAAGACAUGUGUCUGCCUGGUAGCAAAACGCAGGGCUUAACCUUAGGGUACUGGGUGUAUACGUUUUAAGCUCAUUUUCCUAUAUAGUAGUGGUUGUGGGCAAAGAACAUCUGGCAGAGAGGUCAUGGGAAAUGAGCCAGAGACUUUAAAUGAACAAAGAGGGACAGGCCAGUCCAGUGACCAGAGGAAAGCUUUCAGCUUUCCAGCCAGAUUUCCAUUAUACAGAAAUUGCACCUAAGGAUGAAGCGAAUGAAAAUUAUUGGUCAAGAGAGAAAGAUAAAUUAGUUUUUGUUAUUUGUGAAGAGAUCAAAAGGCAACUUCACACUUACACUUGUGUCUCCAUUUCUGGAAAUUUAAUUAGUUUCAUGAGAACUAUCCAUUUUCACUCUAUUUUUCAAAAUUCCUUUAAAAAUAAUAGUAAUUAUACCUCAGGGUUGCUGAAGUUGGAUUUUACUUGAGAAAAUUUUGUGGGAAGAAUGUUUUCUUUCUAAAAUAUGCUACCUAAUUAAAUGCAAUUUAAAGUUAGCCUUUUUAGGAAGUUCACACAGUGUGAUCCUUGGGUUUGAUCAAUGCCUUCUAUUAGUAAGAGGUAGGUUUGUUGUUUUUUUUUUUUUUCCAUAAAAAUGUUCAAGUUGAGAGAUGACUUGUUGCAAGUAUACUCAUCUACAGAUAAAAGUCAGACCCCUAUAUUCUACCCAGAGCCAUUCUUACUGUAGUCAGUUCAAGCAUGUUGCAUUGGUUUCCCAGGAAAACGGGGUAGUUCCUGUGCUAGUUUAUUGCACAGUUGACCCUUGAACAACACAGGUGUGAAUUGCACUGGUUCACUUACAUGCAGGGUUUUUUUCAGUAGUAAAUAUUACGGUACUACAUGAUCCUCUAUUAGUUGAAUCUGCAGAUAGGGAGGAAUCAUGGAUAAUGAAGGGCCAGCUGUAAAUUAUGCACAGAUCUUUGAUUGCUUGGAGAGUCAACACUCCUAACUCCUGCAAUGUCAAGGGUCACCUGUAAUUGUAACUAUCAGAUUUUACUUUAUUUAUAUAAAAAAUGUAUUUUAUAAAAAUCAGGUUUCAAUAUUACAUCUUCUUAUAUUGAAUCUCUAAGUUUUACUUCUAUAAAAAAAUCUGUUUCACAUUUCAACAUAAUGUUGAAAUUAAUUACAUCAAGGAAGCAUAAAUCAUAACAGUUUAAUCAAAGUGUUAAGAAAGCCCUUUGGGAAAAGAAAGAUUGAAGUUAUUUUAAAAUUUUAAUUCAAAAGUAGUAUAAAUAAAAAAUGCAUAUGGUUUUAGGAUUUAAUAAUGUAGUUUAAAAUAAGUGGACUAGAAGUGGCUGUGUAGUUGGUGUUUGACAUUGUAACAUUUAUAUAUGUUCUUAUAUAUUUUUAGUUUCAAAACUGUAAAAAUGUAUGGAUCUUAAAUAGAAAGUAAUGAACUACUGUUGAAUGUUCUUUACAAAAGUAAUUGAUAACUAAAUUUUUGAUAGUUUAAAAAUCAAAUGAUAAUUUUCAUUGAUGUGUAGUGUAUACAUACAUAUUUUUCAAACUGACUCAGCCUCAAUUGAAUAAAUGAAAGUCAAAACACAAUGUUUUACAUUAUAGAAAAGUAGAAUUUGAGAUUCAGAUAUAUUAUUCUGUAAAAUAUAUUAAAAAAUUGCAAAACCAGACAUCUCAACUGGAUUUUUUUUUUUCUUUCCCUCACAUGUAGCAUGUUUCCCAGCAAUUACUUUGGCUGCUAAGGAUAUAAAAGCUAUACUUAGGCACAAUGAAAAAGAAUAUUGUAACCAGUUAAUAGCAUCUUCAUGGCUGUGGUGGGCUGAAUUACUCUUUACAAACACUCUUCCCUUUAACUUAGCUUCCACAGGAGGAAUAUGUCUGCUUCUUGACUUUAGGAUUCAUCAUGUAACCUGCUUUGACCAAUGGAUUGUGUCAGAAGUGCCACUGCACCACUGAGACUAGAUUUAAGAGACCCUGCAUGUUGCUGCUUGCUGUCUCACACUUCUGCCACCACCAUAAGAUGCACACCCUCAGCCUGGCCUGCUGCUUCUGAACGGCUGAUCUCUAGCAAGUCAAUGUACAGAAGAAGAAGCCGAACUGAGAAUCAGCAAGGCCUCAAGCAGACAGGCAUUGGCCUUUAUGACCACUGGCAUUCAUUUGCGAUGCCUGUCUGAGAAAUUCGUAGUCUAGUAGAAGGAGAAAAUCAAGAAAGAUGGAUCAAUAACCAUCAAAAGAAUGAAAGAAACAACCCAGACAAAAGAAGGAUAUUUUGUUGUUUCUUUGGCUGGUUCUCCGUUUUAUCCUGGGCUUCUCAGAGUGUAUUUUCUCCAAGCUCAAGAUGGUCCUAGAAUUUAAAGCCUUCUUUUCUCUCUUCUAAAGAGCAAGGUUACUUUGUUUUGGCAGUUUCAGGAAUGGAGUUUUGCUGUGUUGACCCAGGAAACGGAUGAAUUAGAACAUCACGUAAGUCUCAGGGGCUAUAUUAAUUCAUGUGAGGAAGAAACACGCAAGAAAAGGAAAAAAAAAAAAAAAAAAAAA